UGCCACAGCCAUAUCACCCUGCAGCCCAAGACUGGUUGUCCACUGAAGCUAAGCAGGGUUGAGCCUGGUCAGUACCUGGAUGGGAGACCUCCUGGGAAAACUAGGUUGCUGCUGGAA
rnacentral:rRNA from 1 species